CGAUAAGACUUUAGGGUCUUAUCAAUUGGUAUCAGAGCCUACGAUAAGACUUUAGGGUCUUAUCAUUUGGUAUAAGAGCGGCGACCCUUGGCGUUCUCGCUGCAGCCACGAACGUCGAUCCUUCUCAACCGAGAAGGAACCUCUGCGUCUUGGUCAACGACCAUCGUUGCCCCUUCUCCACCGCCGUCGCUGCUGCCCAGCCAGCAGCCACCACCAUCGCUGCUGCCCCCUUGCUGCAGUUAUCUUCAUCUUAGGAAAAAAAAAAAAA
rnacentral:lncRNA from 1 species